CCUACGGGCGGCAGCAGUGGGGGAUAUUGCACAAUGGGGGAAACCCUGAUGCAGCGACGCCGCGUGGGUGAAGAAGCGCCUCGGCGCGUAAAGCCCUGUCAGCAGGGAAGAAAAUGACGGUACCUGAAGAAAAAGCAUCGGCAAACUCCGUGCCAGCAGCCGCGGUAAGACGGAGGAUGCGAGCGUUAUCCGGAUUUAUUGGGUUUAAAGGGUGCUCAGGCGGAGGCACAAGUCAGCGGUAAAAUCGCGGGGCCCAACCCCGCUCCGCAGUUGAAACUGUGUCCCUUGAGUGCGCGAAGGGUAGGCGGAAUGCGUGGUGUAGCGGUGAAAUGCAUAGAGAUCACGCAGAACUCCGAUCGCGAAGGCAGCCUACCGGCGCGCAACUGACGCUCAUGCACGAAAGCGUGGGUAUCGAACAGGACUAGAUACCCCAGUAGUC
rnacentral:rRNA from 1 species